UGCUUCAAUUAUGUGAACAACUCUUACCCAGGACCUAAUAGUUCAUAAUAUUGCUCUCAAAUCAAUAUUUAAAGCUUUCUGGUUCCAGCUCCUCUAAGUUCUGCCAAUGAUGAUUCUAUAUCCCGUUUCAAAUAUAUACACGAAAACUUUUAUACAAUGAAGAUGCCCGGUAAUGUACAAGUAUAAAAACAUAAAAUAACAAUUCACAAUCACGACAAACAAGAAAAGUAAUAAUAUUUCUCCAACUCAGAUGAUAAAGCUUACAAGAAUGGCUAAGGUAAAAAUGGAAAAGGGAGAUAAUGGCAUUUGAAAUCUUAAAUACUGAUUAAAAUCACAUGUAAAACAUCAAUACUCGCUAUUCAAAAAUAAGAAAAACAUCAAGUAAUUUAAUACAAGAAAAACCUGUAAUUUAAUUCAUAAGGGUUUAGGACAAGGGAUAUGCAACUACCACUUUCCAAGUUCCAACCCAUACAAAUGACUCCUAACACAAUUGGAGAGUGAAACUAACUAGUUAAAGCCAAAGCAACACUCCAUCAAUAUCACCAACAAACAAAAUGGAACAGCAAGUGAGAUGCAGUGCUUCAAUUAUGUGAACAACUCUUACCCAGGACCUAAUAGUACAUAAUAUUGCUCUCAAAUCAAUAUUUAAAGCUUUCUGGUUCCAGCUCCUCUAAGUUCAGCCAAUGAUGAUUCUAUAUCACAUUUCAAAUAUAUACACCAAAACUUUUAUACAAUGAAGAUGCCCGGUAAUGUACAAGUAUAAAAACAUAAAAUACCAAUUCACAAUCACGACAAACAAGAAAAGUAAUAAUAUUUCUCCAACUCAGAUGAUAAAGCUUACAAGAAUGGCUAAGGUAAAAAUGGAAAAGGGAGAUAAUGGCAUUUGAAAUCUUAAAUACUGAUUAAAAUCACAUGUAAAACAUUAAUACUCGCUAUUCAAAAAUAAGAAAAACAUCAAGUAAUUUAAUACAAGAAAAAUCUGUAAUUUAAUUCAUAAGGGUUUAGGACAAGGGAUAUGCAACCACCACUUUCCAAGUUCCAACCCAUACAAAUGAAUCCUAACACAAUUGGAGAGUGAAACUAACUAGUUGCAAAGCAACACUCCUUGGCUUUGCCAACACCAUAACAGUAAAAGAAGGAAAUGGUGUUAGUGAA
rnacentral:lncRNA from 1 species